rnacentral:rRNA from 1 species
AACGAACGUUGGCGGCGUGGAUUAGGCAUGCAAGUCGGACGACGGCCGGGGGGGCAACCCCCGGUACGGAGUGGCGAACGGGGCAGUAAGGCGUGGGUAACCCACCCCCGGGACGGGGAUAGCCUUCCUAACGGAAGGGUAAUACCCGGCGACGUAGCGGAGGGGCAUCCCUCUGCUACCAAAUGAGUUUCGCCCGGGGCGGGGCCCUCGUAGUAUUAGCUAGUUGGUGGGGUGACGGCCCACCAAGGCCUUAAGAUGCUUAGCAGGUGUGAGAGCACGACCUGCGCCACUGGCACUGCGACACUGGCCAGACUCCUACGGGAGGCUGCAGUCGAGGAUCUUCGGCAAUGGGCGCAAGCCUGACCGAGCGACGCCGCGUGUGCGAUGAAGGCCCUCGGGUUGUAAAGCACUGUCGGAGGGGAGGAAGCCGCAAGGUUGACCGACCCCUGGAGGAAGCACGGGCUAAGUUCGUGCCAGCCGCCGC